rnacentral:rRNA from 1 species
UACGUAGGGUCCAAGCGUUAUCCGGAAUUACUGGGCAUAAAGCGUGUGUAGGCGGCGCGUUAAGUGCAACGCGAAAUCUUGCGGCUCAACCGUAUAGACUGUGUUGCAUACUGGCGUGCUCGAGGACGUGAGAGGCAAGUGGAAUUGGUAGUGUAGCAGUGAAAUGCGUAGAUAUUACCAGGAACACCAAUGGCGAAGGCAGCUUGCUGGCACGUAUCUGACGCUGAGACACGAAAGCGUGGGGAGCGAACAGG